rnacentral:rRNA from 1 species
AACGAACGCUGGCGGCAGGCUUAACACAUGCAAGUCGAACGCCCCGCAAGGGGAGUGGCAGACGGGUGAGUAACGCGUGGGAACAUACCCUUUCCUGCGGAAUAGCUCCGGGAAACUGGGAUUAAUACCACAUACGCCCUACGGGGGAAAGAUUUAUCGGGGAAGGAUUGGCGCGCGUGGGAUUAGAUAGUUGGUGGGGUAAAGGCCUACCAAGGCGACGAUCCAUAGCUGGUCUGAGAGGAUGAUCAGCCACAUUGGGAGUGAGACACGGCCCAAACUCCUACGGGAGGCAGCAGUGGGGAAUAUUGGAAAAUGGGCGCAAGCCUGAUCCAGCCAUGCCGCGUGAGUGAUGAAGGCCUUAGGGUUGUAAAGCUCUUUCACCGAUGAAGAUAAUGACGGUAGUCGGAGAAGAAGCCCCGGCUAACUCCGUG